GUCCCUGGGACUCUGUUAUCAUUUGAACUGCUUUAAGUGCAUGGACUGCAAGUCCGACCUCGGAGGAUCGGAAGCGGGGGCCGAGGUGCGAAUACGCAACAAGCAUCUCUACUGCAACACCUGCUACCAGCGAUUCAAAGGCCAGCCAACCUCCAUGUGAAUCGGCUGCGCUCCACCAGAUUGAUGAAGAGACUACUUUUGACAACAACCCAUGAGCAGGGCAGCGGCAGCAGCUGUGGCGGCCGGACGUGGACACCACUGUCUGUGAAGCGUGUCGUCUGAUGAAACCGUCGACGGGUUCCUCAUGUAGCGGUGUACUCUUAUGUUUAUUAAUUUUCUGCUUGAGCGUGAGAGGGGGUGUGGUGUAGAGGAGCCAGGCUUAUGUCCGUAUAUAUCGUGUUAGGUAUUCAUAUUUGUACAAAAGCAUAAGGAUUUGCAUGCAGCAGUGAGUUUUUAGCACAGAGACACUGCCCCAGCAUCGUAUAGGUUUUUAAUAAUGCAGAGGUUUUCCGAUUUCCUGAACUUUUACUGACACGGACAAGUCACCGAGUCCGUUGUUAUGGAAUUGCUGGGGGGUGGGGGGGGGGGGGGAGUCCCGCCGAUCUCGUCUCUAGGCGUUCUCCGCACUGAGAUCCUGCUAACACUAGCGCUGACUGUCAUUCCGUGGUAUUCAUUUAUGUCGUUGUGCCUUUCAUUUCGUGUCGGGGGAUUAAUGCUUAAGGAAUAAUUUGAGAUGUCUAUUUAAAAGAUGUGUUGGAGGCUGCAUUGACGAGCACUUAUCAGGGGUUUGAACCGAGAGAUUAAGAGAUUCAAGCGAUUUUUGCAGAAGAAAAAUAUGUUGUGUAUGAUGUUGAAAUGGUUGUGAGGCAAGCUUACUUCGGUAAAAAAAAUUAUGUAAAUAAAUGGCCAAAUACUGAA